AAAUGGGAAUACAAAAAUUUUAAAUUAUCUCAAACCAUUGAUUUUUGUGAUUUGAAAACAUGUGGUAAAAUGAUGGUUAUGAAAUCAUCAUUUUACAAGAACCACCAUUUUUCUCAAGAACAAUUUAAACAAAUAAGAAGUAUAAUCAUAUCAUACAAUAUGAAACUAUAAUAAACCAUCAUCUCUUGCUCUAAAUCUGCUUUCUCAUGAGUUGUUUAAUUGCUUUUGAACUGGAGAAAUUACAAAAAAGAAUUUACCCUAAGAUCAAAGUUGUUCUGGUGGUUUAGAACUUUAGAUGGAUUAAAAUAAUGGAGGGUAUUUUUAAUGUAGGCCUAAAUUUUCUUUCUUUUUUGUUUUUUUUUUACCUAAUUUUAAGCUUUAAAAUUCGGAAUUUUUUGAUGAAUUUGGCUUUAUUAUCCAUACAAUAUUUUGAUUGAGCGCAUCUCCAAAUUAUUAUGUUGAUUUUAUUACCUGAUUUUGGACAAAUUUUGCCAUUGAAACUAUUUAGACAUUAGGUUUUCUUCCUUUCAAAUUGGAAAACUAUCCCAUGGCAAGGUGAAUACUUGUUUUAGGCUAAAAAAUUUGAACUUAUUUUUCUUAUUGGGUCCUACUUAUCGAUGAGCAAGUGGGCAUGUAAUAAAUGUGUUAGCGUCCAGGUUACCUUAUUAGAAGUACAAGGAUGUUUACAUGUUUGUGAUUUGGUGUUAAUUUAAAGUUUUUAUCAUAGAAAUCAAAAUUAAAAAUUUAGAGUAAAUGUCCACAGCCUGGGACUAGAUGUCUUGAUGUCAUCAGUGUCUGCCACUUUUGCUCAUAAGAAUGUUAUAUAAAGAUUUUAAAAAAGGGAAAAAAAAUAAAACUUGAAUGAAAAGAAGAGCCAUGGUGUAUUGUUUAAUUCUGGUUGACGCUAGGAGGGCAGAUUGAAAAACUGGCUUCCAGUUCUCACUAGUUUGAAAAUCAAGCCUAGUAAGACAGAUUGAAAAACUGGCUUCCAUCUUUCACUUGUUUGAAAAUCAAGCCCAGUAACUGUAGAGGAUGACAAGGUGAAUAGUCUUGGUUUUACUAAUGUCAAUCUAAAGGUUCUGCAAUCUUUGAACUAGACUGGCUUUCUAAUUAACUUUUUCCUGUUUCUUUUUGUGGUUUGAAAUAUGACCAAAUGGGUAUCUAACCUAAAAUAAUCAAGACCUUUGGUCUCUUUUAAUUGUCUUAGUCUAGGAAGUUAUGCUGUCAAACAUGCAUCUCUUAACUAUGUCUGCUUUAUUUGCCUUUUACAUUAUUGAUUAUGAAAUUUGGAAGGGCAAAUAUGUGGCUAUUGUAGUUCAUUUUAAAAUAUGUUGGGAAAAAAAACUUCAGGACUACCCUUUUAGGGAGAAAAAAAAAUUACAGGAUCAUUUGCACCAAAAGUUUAAAUACUGAUUUUAAAUUGUGGGUGCUGUAUUAUACUAUUGCGUGCCCCUUGACACUCUAUCAUUGCUUUAACAUGAGG
rnacentral:misc_RNA from 1 species